UUCACUUUCGAAGGUCACGUAGAUCAUUACAUAAAAGUGCCAUAAAUUGUGUAGAGGUUGGGUGAGAAAGGAACGUGUUUCAUCAUUUUCAAGCAGGUACAAUAGCCGCAAGGAUUAAGAGGUGAAUCAGGAUGAGAAAAAAUCGUAUAAAAGGAGAGAGAAAAGGCGACAGAAAUCAGUCGAGUGAUGAUCUCCGACACCGCAACAACUGCUGCAGCGCACUAUUUGUCACAAAUUGCCUUCUUCAUCGUGUUACCUGUUCGUAAUCAUGGUUAACUAAGGCGUCGUGCUGCUGUUGGGUGUUGUACUGUUGUUGGGUGUUGUAAUGUUGAUGGCUGGUUACUGUUCCCCUAGAUAUAUGGUAUAAAGCAACAACGAAGAAAUCAGUCGAGUGAUCAUCUCCGACACGUCAACAGCAACUGCAGUGUACUAUUUGUCAACAACUGCCUUCUUCGUAGUACCACCAAUUCGCAAUCAUGGGAAAGUUAACUAUGGCGCCGUGCUGCUGUUUGCUGUUGUAUCGUUAGUUUAUGGGUCGACCACGAGUGUACCGAUGUUUCCUGCACAUGGGUGGAUGCUACAGCAGAGAAAGAAUACUACACCACGCCGCCGCCUUACUACACAACAGAGUCAACAUACGCAACAUCUACUUACUACACCGAAGUCCCCAAGUACUACACGACUACGAAUGCUGCCCCAUCCUACUACACCGAGGCUCCAGCAUAUUUCAAUACUAAAGCGGUCAAGUACUACACCGAACCGCACAAGUACUACUCUGCCCCGAACUGCACAACCACAACUGGAGUGACCAAGUACCACGUAGCCCAGAUAUAACACAGCAGCUGCUCCUUCGUACUACGUUGAACUGAAAUACUACACCGAGACACCAGUUUGCUACACCUCAACCUACGCUACACCUAGAUGCUAUGACGAAGUUCCCAACUACUACACCGAAGAGGCCACAUAUUACACAACCACGUACGUGUGCCCCAGUUUACUACACUGAGGAACCCAAGUAUUACUCUGCUCCAAGCUACUACAAAACUGAGGCUUCUGUUUACUACACCAAGCCACCGAGUAUUACAACCAAAUGUUAACUAUGGCGUCGUCCUGCUGUUGGUUGUUGUAUCCUUGGUGGUUGGGUCAGCCACUAGUGUAUCGAUGUCUCGUGGGUAUGGUGGAUACCAAACCACAACGCAGCCGGCUUACUGCAUGACAAAAACAUACGCAACAACCGGAGUACUACACCACGAAGGCAGCGGAGUACUACACCACGAAGGCAGCGGAGUACUUACACCACCACGUAUCCUGCCCCAGCCUUUUACACUGUUCCGCAGAGGUCGCAUAUUACGCUACAACCCACGCUGCCAUCAGCUGCUACAACGAGGCUUCCAAGUACUACAUAACCACUAAACCAAGGCACCCGAGUAUGACACUACAACCUACGUUGCUCUUAGCUACUACACUGAAACUUCAAAGUACUACUUUAGCAAGGCAUCUGAGUAUUAUACCACUACUUACGCUGAUUCCACCUACUACACCGAAGUUCCGAAGUUUUCCACUGCCCCGACUUACUACACCACUAAGGCACCUGGAUAUUACAUCACAACCUUCGCUUCUCCAGUUUACUAAAGGGAGGCUCCUAAAUACCAAAACUGAAAUUGCGUAUUGUGUAAUGGUGUUCAAAGUUGUCGGGCAUGUCAAAAGGGUUACUAAUCACUUGGAGUUUUUGUUGAUAUGAAAUGAGGAAAUACAUUUUUUAAUGGUAA